rnacentral:rRNA from 1 species
GAUGAACGCUAGCGGCGUGCUUAACGCAUGCAAGUCGAACGAUAGGCCUUCGGGCCGAAAGUGGCGAACGGGUGAGUAACACGUUGGUGACCUACCUCAGAGAGGGGGACAACCACUGGAAACGGUGGCUAAUACCCCAGAUGUUUAUGUGUUUAGAAAGCAUAAACCAAAGCUCCGGUGCUCUGAGAGGGGCCAGCGUCCCAUCAGCUAGUUGGCGAGGUAAAGGCUCACCAAGGCGAAGACGGGUAGGGGGCGUGAGAGCGUGACCCCCCACACUGGUACUGAUACACGGACCAGAUACCUACGGGUAGCAGCAGCGAGGAAUAUUGCGCAAUGGGCGAAAGCCUGACGCAGCAACGCCGCGUGGAGGAUGAAGGCCUUCGGGUUGUAAACUCCUUUUUUGAGAGAAUAGAAAGGAAGGUAUCUCAAGAAUAAGCUCCGGCUAACUACGUGCCAGCAGCCGCGGUAAUACGUAGGGAGCAAGCGUUAUCCGGAUUUACUGGGCGUAAAGCGCACGCAGGCGGUCUUGUAAGUUGGAUGUGAAAGCCCUCGGCUUAACUGAGGGAUGCCAUUCAAUACUGCGAGGCUGGAGAGUGACAGAGGAGAGUAGAAUUCCCGGUGUAGUAGUGAAAUGCUUAGAUAUCGGGAGGAAUACCAGUGGCGAAGGCGGCUCUCUGGGUCAUUUCUGACGCUCAUGUGCGAAAGCUAGGGUAGAGAACGGGAUUAGAAACCCCGGUAUUCCUAGCCGUAAACGAUGUCAACUAUGUGUAGGAGGUAACCAAUCCUUCUGUACUGUCGCAAACGCAAUAAGUUGACCGCCUGGGGACUACGGCCGCAAGGUUAAAACUCAAAGGAAUUGACGGGGACCCGCACAAGCAGCGGAGCGUGUGGUUUAAUUCGAGGCUACACGAAAAACCUUACCAAGGCUUGACAUACACGUGGUAGCGAUUAGAAAUAUGAACGACCCUUCGGGGAGCGUGUACAGGUGCUGCAUGGCUGUCGUCAGCUCGUGCCGUGAGGUGUCUGGUUAAGUCCAUUAACGAGCGCAACCCUCAUCGUUAGUUACAAGUGUCUAGCGAGACUGCCGGUGAUAAGCCGGAGGAAGGUGGGGAUGAUGUCAAGUCAGCAUGGCCUUUAUGUCUUGGGCUACACACACGCUACAAUGGUCAGUACAAUGGGUCGCGAAGCCGUGAGGCGGAGCCAAUCCUCCAAAGCUGAUCUCAGUUCGGAUUGCAGGCUGCAACUCGCCUGCAUGAAGUCGGAGUUGCUAGUAACCGCGCGUCAGCUAUAGUGCGGUGAAUACGUUCCCGGGUCUUGUACACACCGCCCGUCACGUCAUGGAAGUUGGCAACGCCUGAAGUCGGUGGGCUAACCCGCAAGGGAGGCAACUGCCCAAGGUGGGGUCGGUAACUGGGACG